UCAUAAUUGGGACUAUAACCUGAUAGGACCAGAAUCUCUUUAUAAGAGGAGAGAUGUUGAGAUCUCACCCUACACUGGCAAGAAAAGCGGCCAUGUAAUAAUAACACAGGGCAAAGAUGGCCUCCCACCAGCUCAGAAGAGGAUUCACCAAAACCCACGUUUAGCACCAUCUCCAUCUCGCACUUCUAGCCUCCAAAACUUUUCAGGCAGGCCAAGUGUAUCUCUGCAGUUCCUUUGUACUGGCAGGCAGCUGUUUGUGGUCUCAGUGCAGCCGAUUCCUGUCCUAUUUUGACUCUACAAAACCUUCAACAAGUGGACAGUUCGCCAUCUAUUUUCUUUACACACAAGAGGGUCAUUUAAUUUCCUUUCACAACUUUGUUUUUUCAAGGGCCACCAACACUUAGAGACUGAAUCUACAUAUGUAUAAAGAGGAUUUACUGGAGUGGUCCACAGGCUGCGGUCCAGCUAGUCUACCAAUGGCUGUCUACCAAUGGAAGGACCAAGAAUCCAGCAGUUGCUCAGUCUGUGAGGCUUGAUGGAAUCUCAAAAAAGCAGGCUCUAAUGCCAGUGAGGGAACGGAUUCACCAGCAAGAGCAAGAGCCAAGCAGACAAAGAGAGAAAGCUUCCUUCUUCCACAUCUUUUAUAUAGGCUGCCAGGAGAAGGUGUGGCCCAGAUUUAAAAAAAAAAACUAAUAAUUUUGGUCAUUCUAAUGGUCAUGUAGAUGCCUCUCAUCAAACCUGUCAUUCUCACUUCCCAGAAAUCCAAUUAUAGUAAGUAUUUUUCCAUGUGCUUAUUGGCCAUUCUUCUAUCAUCCCAUGUAAGUAUUCUAUCAAAGUCUUUGUCCAUUUUUAAAGGUUUCAUUUCUGCCUUCUCAUUAUCAAAUUGUGAGAAUUCUUUCCAUAUUCUCACCACAAAACUUUCAUCAUGCAUGGGUUGCAAGUGGCUUCUCUACUUGAUGACUUAGCCUCUGUGUUUUCUUGACAAUGCCUUUUGAGGAGUACUGGGUUUGUAUUUCAUUCAAAAGAUCUGGAUUAAAAGUGGGUCUUCCUGUUUCAAAUGAUCUCCUCCCCUCAUCCUUUACUCCUUAAAAACCCUACCAUAACUGAG